UAACAAAGACAUGUUUCAUAUUGGGUAUGAUAUCUACAAAGAAAUGUUUUCAUAGUGGGUAUAGAAUAUAUAACAAAGAAUGUUUCAUAUUGGGUAGGAUAUGAACAAGAAGGUUUCAUAUUGAGUAUGCUAUCUACAAAGAAUGUUUCAUAUUGGGUAUGGAUAUCUAACAAAGAAUGUUUCAUAUUGGGUAUGAUAUCUAACAAAGAAUGUUUCAUAUUGGGUAUGAUAUCUAACAAAGAAUGUUUCAUAUUGAGUAUGAUAUCUAACAAAGAAUGUUUCAUCAGGUAUGCCGUCUUACAAAUAUUUUUUAAUCACAAGUAUAUUAUCUUACAAUGAUUGUGAAUAUACUCUAAGUUUGCAUGAUAUUCUCCUUGAAGUGUUUUACAUGCAAGGUUUGAGUCUUGGAGACUUUGUAGUAUUUCUUGCCCUGCUGCUAAUCCAUUGUUUGUGCCCUCUAUGUUAAUAAACCUUGGCACUUUGGUUAACUAUUGUUCAUCUCAAUCAUUUGACAGACCUGUGCUUAACUUGUCCCGAGGACCUCCCCUCGUGUAUACAUAAAGGUGGCGCAGUACAGUUUACAUAUCUCUAAAAACACACACUAUCUUUCAGAAACUCUCACCUUUUCUGUCUACUCAUCUCUCUUUUCUGUCUACCCAUAUCUCUUUUCUAUCUACCCAUCUCUAUUUUCUAUCUACCCAUCUCUAUUUUCUAUCUAUCCAUCUAUCAUGUCAUUAUUUCCCUCUCUAAAUCUCCAUCUACACUCCACAAGGUAUACCAGCUACUAUGGAAGAAUUCACAUAUCGCCGAUUUAAGUUUUGAUGUUGCUAUUAUUUAAAUAAACUGGUGUUACACAUCUACACCCCCCCCCAUAUCUCUCUUACCGCCCGCCUCUCCCCACAGACUGACAACCACAAACAGCCAGACAUUUACUAAACAGACACCCGCGGCACUCCGCCCUGCCUCCCGAAGUACAACCUCUCCCUGAGUGUGUCAAGGUUACGCACUCUUCCCCACAGCCUCCAUCUAAACCUGUGGAUUUACAUGUGACAGCAAAGGUCAAGGAAUGAAUGYGCUGUGACGUUGUCCAGUUGGAAGGCAGAUAAAAUGGCCUCUGGGUCAAAGUCAGUAUUGUUUGUUAUAAUUGCAACAACCAACACGCCACCGAACAAAGGCUCAUGGCCUUGGUUUCUAUACUGGCAACUUA
rnacentral:lncRNA from 1 species